GGUUACACCGAGAGUCAGAGACUUUGCAUUGUUUUUGUUUGGCCCAUGAGUAGAGUGAGAGGACUGAAGAGAGACCGUGAGAUUGAAAACUCAAAGUUCAAAAUCCUAAUAUUUCGAAAGAGGGUCCUCGUCUCAGUGGUGCGUUGUGUUUUUUCUUCAUCUCAGCAGAAAUGUUGUUAUGUAGAGCUGAUUGGGUUCGAGUACUUCAUGGUUUGAAAAAAUCAAGUAGAGAAGACCAACUUAUAAGGAGAUUUUACUACCUUGACAUGAAUUGCUGGCAGGUUGUAUAUUUUUGCCUUUUGGUAUAAUGCUAUUUAUUAUUAAAUUGUUAUUUUGUUAUAUCAUAUUCCUAAUGAUAUCUUGUGUGUUUUGUAUCAUAGGUUGAUGGGGAUUAGCUUCUGGCUGGUUUUUUGUCGUUUGUUUUUUUUUGGUGAAUUGAUCUACUAAAAAUAUUAAAAGGAAGUAUGCUUAUAGGACAUGUUGUUUAAGUAGGGAUGUAAUUAUUUUUGUGAAAAAACUUGUUGACUCGUCGGAGCUGUCCAAUUAGACAAGGUUGCUGGAAAUUUGGAUUUCUUUUGACAGCUUUGACAUAUAGGUAAUUUCAUUACUUGUAUAGUUGACUUAAAUUGCAGAAGUAUAUGGAAUAUUGCAAACCACUGUUUUUGUACGUAAUGGAGAAAUAUGGAUAACAUGAACUAAUUUUUUGUAUUGUUUUAUUUUUGUACUUGGUGCUCAAAGAAAUGGUUUAACAUGUUGAUAGUGGUUUCAUGUUUGUUAUUCUUGGCUAUUAUUAUUAGGUUGUUUACUACUUUUAUUUAUUGUUCUACAAGUUAUUAUUCAAUCUAUUGUGUUUCAUUCAUUUUUAGACUAAGUGUUUAUUAUUAGUGUUUAUCAUUUUAUUAAUAAGUUGCUUACUCUUAGUUAAGAUUAGUAGAUUUAUUAGUGUUUAUAUAUAUUUUAUUCUCUUUAAACUAAGACAAACUUUUACAUACUUAUGUAACUGUCAAAUGUAGAAUUGGCUCCUAUAUUCAAAGGUGAAGGGCCAACAUAUUUCUAUUGAUUUAUUUCUAAUAAGAAUGUUGGCUCCUAUGUCAUAUGUGCAUAAGAAAUGAGGCUGAAAUGAAUAAAUGUUGGUGGACUUUUCAGUUUGUAAAUUUGAAUAUGUGAUUUAGAAGUUAUUAUUGUGAAUCUGUGAUACCUUAGAAGUUGGAAUUAUUUAUCUAUUUUAGUUUUUAACUAUAUUUUGGCAAGUGAUAAAUUAUUGAUUUAUUUGCAAUAAGAAUGUUGUCAAUAAACAAUGCUAUGUAAUGUGUUGCUGUGCAUCAAAGUGGCUCAAGUGAAUAAGAGUUAGAGGACUUUUUUCUACCAUUUAUUUAGUUUUUUUUCCUAGUUGAUGCUAUAAAUAGUGUUCAACCAUUUGAAAUUGUAAUUUAUUGUUAUACCUUAGAAGUUGGAAUUAUGUACCUAUUUGUAACUAUAUUGUGGCAAGUGAUGAAUCAUUGAUUUAUUUGCAAAAAGGUGUUGUUUAAGCAAUGCUAUGUCAUGUGUUGCUGACUGUUGUGCAUCAGAAAUGGGGCUGAUUCGGCUGAAGUCAUGAAUAAGAGUUGAAGAAUAUUCUUCUACCA